rnacentral:rRNA from 1 species
UAGGGAAUAUUGGACAAUGGGCGAAAGCCUGAUCCAGCAAUGCCGCGUGAGUGAAGAAGGCCUUAGGGUUGUAAAGUACUUUUGUUAGGGAAGAAAAGCUAGUUUUUAAUAAAAAUUAGUGAUGACGGUACCUAAAGAAUAAGCACCGGCUAACUACGUGCCAGCAGCCGCGGUAAUACGUAGGGUGCAAGCGUUAAUCGGAAUUAUUGGGCGUAAAGCGAGUGCAGACGGUUACUUAAGCCAGAUGUGAAAUCCCCAAGCUUAACUUGGGACGUGCAUUUGGAACUGGGUGACUAGAGUGUGUCAGAGGGAGGUAGAAUUCCACAUGUAGCGGUGGAAUGCGUAGAGAUGUGGAGGAAUACCGAUGGCGAAGGCAGCCUCCUGGGAUAACACUGACGUUGAGGCUCGAAAGCGUGGGGAGCAAACAGGAUUAGAUACCCUGGUAGUCCACGCCCUAAACGAUGACAAUUAGCUGUUGGGCUUUGAAAGGCUUAGUAGCGAAGCUAACGCGAGAAAUUGUCCGCCUGGGGAGUACGGUCGCAAGAUUA